AUGUUUAAACAAAUUCUGGUUUAUAGGAUUUCAUUUCAAAUUUACUGUAAUAAACACAUGAAUAUUAAAAAUAAACAUAUAACAAAAUACAAGUAAAUAGUUAAUACUUACAAAAGUACUAAAAUAUAGGUUACACUGAGAAAGGCUUUUCUGUAAGAAAGUGUCUAUAUUUACGGAUGGGCAUGACCUUACAAAUACACAUGAAAAUAACAAGUAUCAUUUGUAUAGUCCUCAGCAUUUACCAACACUUUUCUCAUACAUUAUCUCACACACCACAAAGAAUUUCUGAACUAAAUAGGUUCCAUAACCUACAAAGGGUAUGAUGCAGAAGUAGAUGCUUACUCUAAAAUUAAAACAGGUUUCCCAAUUGUAUCUACUAUUGUCUUUCAACUAAAAUGGUAGAAAACUGGCUUAUGAAUUGCUUUGAUAAUUAUCACAAAAAGGUACAGAUAAUUUCAAAUUAUGAUUUGAAAAAUAAAAAUUCCCUAAAAUUUGUUAAAAGUUUUUUAGAAUUUUCCUCAGAACUCACAAUCCAGCUAGGCAUUAAAGUUGAUACUGUAUAGUGUAUUUGAAAUCUCUGUAUCUUCUAAAAUGGGAAAAGAAGAGUAAGUUUAUCAAUGUUAGGUUUUUGAUUACUACUUUGGUUUUAACAAAAACCUGGUGACACUAUAAUCACGUAUUUGCAUCAUUUCUCCUAUGGCAAGGAAUAUAUAAUUAAGAUGUGAGAUGACAAUAAUGCCUGGGAAGCUGAAAGAGAACAGGCUACCUGGAACAUCCCUAAAAUACUGUAAAUUGUAUCUGUUUACCCAGGAAUAACAACAAUCACUUGUGCUGUAGUUCCUGCCAUCCCAUUUGCCUUAGAAAAAAAAAUUUCACUCUCUUCUCUGAAAACUAGCAAGCUUUAUAAACUUGAGUUGAAACAUCUAGACAAAGGCAAUUUGAUGUAGAGAAGUGUGAGAAUGUUGAUCGACAUUUCACACAGUGGGUACCAAAUGAAGAUUUAUCUUAGAAAACUGCUACUACUACUGUUAGUU
rnacentral:lncRNA from 1 species